UGCCAUGUGCUAGUGUGCACCAAGUGUGUGCGGAGUGCGCCACAAUUGGGUGGUGUGCAAGUGCGCCGCAAUUUGGCGGUGUGCGAGGGCACAUAGCAAUAGAAACUGCUAUUGUAAACACAAUUGAUUAUUGAGAAUCAAUAAAGGGAGCUAUAGCUACUCUAUAGCCGCAGAGGUAGGCAUAAUUGGCCGAACUGCGUGAACAAAGAUUCUGUGUGGUUUAUUCGUGCUUUCUCGCACUAUCGUACUGUCUGAAUCAAAUUGUGCCCUUUUUAUUCCUCAACACGGUCCAUUAGCAUAGGGUGGAUAAUCCUCUUCUGGCCAUUCCUCGUAUGUCACUGCCCAUUUACCAUAUCCUAAAGGUUUGUGGUAGUAAUUUAUGUUGCCAAUGUAAAAACUGGUAUCAUCCGGAACCUUUCUUCCUUUAUCAAUAACAGCAUCCACUCUCACAAAAGUGUCAUCAUAACCUUUCAUGAUAUACUUCGCAGACGCUGUAUGAACCCCAUAUUCACAUAUGGCCACUGUUUUCAACACAACACGGUCGUAGUUAUCCAUGUAAGGCACUAUAACAAUAUCUCGGAAAUAUUCUGCUUCCUUCUUCAACUCAAUGUUAAUUUCUUGUCUUGAAUGCAGUGCUAGUGUUGUCAAGAUCCGGAUCCUAGAAUCACAUACAAUCUUGCGAUCUUUCUGGUGGGAGAAAGAUGUAUAGAGAGGGAUGGAGUCCAUCCAGUUCUAUUUUAUUUCAUUCUAAGCCAUUCUAUCUUAUUUAAGAGAAAUCCUACUUAGUAGGAGACGAAUAACACACCUAUAUAAAAUUUCAAAUAAAUCACCCAUGUAUAAUAACAAACUAGUUUUAUACCCGUGCAUUCACGGGUGACAUUUGAUAUAUAUUAGUAUUUAUUUGGUA
rnacentral:lncRNA from 1 species